GCCCAGGUGGUGAAAUUGGUAUACACGCUACCUUGAGGUGGUAGUGAGCGCAAGCUCGUGGAGGUUCAACUCCUCUCCUGGGCA
rnacentral:tRNA from 1 species